UUACUGCAUUUGUAUUUCCUAACUUCAUACUGUCACUUUGUGUCUUUUCUAUGCAGAGUCUCCUUUAGUAUUUCUUGCAAGGGUGGUUUAGUGGUUAUGAAUGUUAGUUUUUGUCUGUGAAAUUCUCUCUCUUACUUUCAACGUUAGCCUUGCUGGAUAGAGCAUUGUUGGCUGCAGAUUUUUACCACUCAGUAUUUGGAAUAUACCAUGCCAGUCCCUUCUGGCUUGCAGUUUCUGAUGAAAAAAUCUGACAGCCCUAAGGGUUUUCCCAUAUAAGUAAGAGUCUUUUGUCUUGCUGCUUUUAAGAUAUUUUAUCACUAUAUGUUGAAAAUUUAAUUACAGUAUGUCUUCGUGUUGGCUUGCUUUUGAUUUUUUUUUUUUUUUUUAAUGGGAGUUCUCUAUGCCUCCUGGAUCUAGAUGUCUGUUUACUUCCUCAGAUUAGGGAAGUUUUCAGCUACAACUUGAGAGAAAUUUUUUGCCCCCUUUUAUCGCUCUCUCUCUGCCCCUUCUGGGACUCCUAUAAUACAAAUGCUAUUUUGUUGGGAGUCACUUAAUUCCUUAAGUCUAUUCUUGUUUGGGAGAAUUUUUUCUCUUUUGUUCAGCUUGAUUACUUUCCAUUAGUCUAAGUCAUUAACUUGUUGCUGAUUGUUUCAGCCUGCUGUUGACUGCAUCAAACAUGUUUGUAAUCUCCUUUAUUACACUCAUGUUUUUUAAAUUUUUCUGUCAUAAGGGUCUCACUGAUCUUUCAUGCUUUUCUCAAGCCCAGUAUCCUAAUGAUCAUUGCUUUCAAUUCUUGAACACGUAUAUUACUUUUAUCUAUGUGGCUUAAAUCUCUGGCCAUAGCCUUAACUUGUUCAUUUGGGAUAAAUUUGCUCAUUUUGUGUAAGUCACUGCCUGCUUCUGUGGGUUAGCCAGUUAGGUCUCUGGCUGCUGAAAGUACUGGCGUCACAAAGAGGUCAUGUGGUGUCCAGGGACUGGUGUUUCAGGGUGUGUCUCCCAUAGGUGCUUUAAGUGUUCUGCUGCUGUUCUGGCUGCUGUCCUUCAGGCCUGUCAUCUGCAGCAGCUCUCCUUGCCUCCUGUGAGCAGUGUUUGGUCCCUGGCCUGAAUGUUCUAGCUGGCCAGUUUCAGUUGUGUAUUUUGGUCUGCUUGUGAGAUGAAACCUGUUACCACCUCCAGUGAAACUGAGGCCCUGCAAAACUGUAGUUGGGAGACAUGCAGGGGCAGGGCUUUGUGCUGGUCUUCUGGAUAAGGGGGCCCACCAGCCUAGGACUGAAGCAAGCCUGGGAGGAGCAGUUCUAUUGCAGCGUAAGGGGGUAGGGCUGUGAGCAAGUUAGGUAGCCAGCGACUAUACUUCACUGGUUCCUGCAGGUGGCUCUUGUGUGUAUGCUGAGGGGCAUGGGGGGGUAACAGCACCAGCCAGUUCCUUCGUUAUUGGAGAGGUGUCUCCGUGAACACUGCCUUUGGGCACACUCUGAGAAGAGCAAAUAAUCUCCCCACUGGGUUCCACUGGCGCUCUGCUGUUUCCAAGCUCUAUGUCCUCAGAUUGUUUGCCUACCUUCUCCAAGGGCAGCCCUGAUGCCUAUGGACUGGUCUCUCCAGGAGCACAACCUGCUAACACUCAAAAACUUCAGGCUUUAAACCCCAAAGCAGUGCAACAACUCAAGAAAUUAAUCCCUUCUCACUUUCCAAACCAAUGGCUAUGAGGAAACGUUCUCCUUCUGUGUUCCCCUAGUGCUCCUCUCCACAGCAGCCAGGAUCCAUUUCUCCCCAAACUAGACCUCUGUGCCUCCUACCUUCGAUUUGGUAGCUUCCUUACCUUUAGCUGUGGCGUUUCUUUUGCCAGUCUCAAAGUCGAUUUCUGGGGGUAUUUAAGAUGAUUUGCUAGUUACCUACUUGUAUUGUGGGAUGAGGCAAGCCCAGGGUCCUAGUAGUCUGCUGCCAUCUACCACCACCAGGUGGUGCCACUUAGGAUAACACUGUGACCUUACCAUCAUGUUCCUUGCUUUAAAAAAUGUGGGGAUUAAGGCCUAUGCAGCUAUGAAUCAUAUGGCUUAGAAAUAGGGGUGGAGGACAUCUGCACAGUAACCUGGAUCAUCCAUGCACCCACCCAAUUGCCUCUUGUCAGUAAGCUGCCCUGAAUAAAACUGUACAAAUAGUAAAGACAGGUUUGCUUUAUCGGUCUUAAGUCCUUUUCAGUAUGGAGCAAACCGUUUUCUGAAAGAUACAGAGAUUUAUGGUUAUUCUAAUUCAGAGUGGCCACCCUGGCUUAAGGGUGAUGAUUGGGAUUAAAAAAAAAAAAAUCUACAUUUCUUAAAGUCCAAAUGCUAGAAGUACCUAAGCAACAGAAUUGUUCUAAAAAGGACUUUUUAAAUGGGAUUGAUCAGAGAAUCCUGCAACUGAAGUGACCCACCAUGGUAGCCCAGCCUGGGAUGAGGAUCUUCUUUAUGGACUACCACUGACCUGUUGAUGGUUGUGUAGCCUGUAUUGCCUACAAAUGACAACUGUAUUAACAACUAAUAAUUAUACAGCAGGUAUACAAUUAGACAGCAGGUAGUAAAUUCUAGCUACACAAACAAUGGUAAGUAAAACCUAUUUUCCAAUGUUUUGUUGGGAGUUUGGUCACAAUCUUCUUGCACCUACCAGCUUAACCUGUUUGAUCCUAUUACAGAUCCGAAGGUAUUAAAUCCACAGUACUUGUAAGGAUUGAGAAUAGAGCAGACCACUAGGAACAAAGUAGAUACAAAACAGUUUCUCAGAAAUCAAGAAUAAAAGAGAAUGGGCCACUGACGGAAGAUGGGUCUCAGAUAGUUAAACUCUGAAUAAACUGGAAUACAUGGAACCAAAUAUGGUAGAAAACUUUCAGGUAAAGAUGCACAGCUUGGUAAACCUGGUGAGUGUCCCUUUUAGAUGCAAAUUUGCCACUUAAAAUUAGGUUCCCUUCCCCUCUAUGGCCCACACACUUAGGGGACCCGAAGACAGUUAUUGGAAGGUGAUGUUUGUUAACUGUAACACAGACACUAACUUCACUGAAGUAUUUUUGUUCCUUGAUUUUCUAGAAUCACAAGUGAUACCUGCCCACUACUGUUUAAAAUCACUGGUCUAGUCCCUCUCUAUAGCAUUUGUUGCAGACAGCCCUAAAACAGCUGGAAUACAGUCAGCAGGGGCCCGGGCUGGACCAGGCGGAGCAACAGUUCAUCUUGGCAAGUAUGUGUUUAUUUCCUUUGGUGCCUUGCACAGUAAGGCACUAAUGAUGAUAGAACAGAAGAAAUGCCCACAUCAAAUAGUUCUAGUGACAAUUUACUAGACAAGUUACAGUUUAAUGAUGGUGGUGGUGAUUGUUUCAUUUUAUUAUUUUUUACAAUAAGGUUGUAGCCUUUAUACUCCACACACACACA